rnacentral:rRNA from 1 species
UACGAAGGGGGCUAGCGUUUUUCGGAAUUACUGGGCGUAAAGCGCACGUAGGCGGACUUGUAAGUCAGGGGUGAAAUCCCGGGGCUCAACCCCGGAACUGCCUUUGAUACUGCAAGUCUAGAGGUCGAGAGAGGUGAGUGGAAUUCCGAGUGUAGAGGUGAAAUUCGUAGAUAUUCGGAGGAACACCAGUGGCGAAGGCGGCCAACUGGCCCAUUACUGACGCUGAGGUGCGAAAGCGUGGGGAGCAAACAGG